UUUUGAUUAUACGAACGUGAUAUUUUCAUAAGGUAACAUAGGUCUACAAGUAAUCAAACGGUAAGUAUGUAUGUUAGAAUAAUUCACCUUUAAAACCUUACGAUGUUAUUUAAAUACAUUUUCCUUUCUGAGCAUAUAAAACUCACUUUUUCUAUGUCUUCCCACCAGAUGAGAAAGAAAAUGAGGAACCGCUAGCUAACCUAUCUAUUGAAGUUUAUG
rnacentral:lncRNA from 1 species